rnacentral:tRNA from 1 species
GGGCGAGUGGCGGAACUGGUAGACGCGCUAGACUCAAAAUCUGGUGACCGCAAGGUCGUGAGGGUUCGAUUCCCUCCCCGCCCACCA